AUUGAACGCUGGCGGCAGGCUUAACACAUGCAAGUCGAGCGAGCGGCGGACGGGUGAGUAAUGUAUGGGAAUCUGCCUGAUGGAGGGGGAUAACUACUGGAAACGGUAGCUAAUACCGCAUACCAUCAGAUGUGCCCAGAUGGGAUUAGCUAGUAGGUGGGGUAAUGGCUAACCUAGGCGACGAUCCCUAACUGGUCUGAUAGGAUGACCAGCCACACUGGAACGGAGACACGGUCCGGACGCCUACGGGAGGAAGCAGUGGGGAAUAUUGCACAAUGGGCGCAAGCCGGAUAAAGCCAUGCCGCGUGUAUGAAGAAGGCCUUCGGGUUGGAAAGCACUUUCAGCGAGGAGGCGUUACCCGCAGAAGAAGCACCGGCUAACUCCGUGCCAGCAGCCGCGGUAAUAC
rnacentral:rRNA from 1 species